AUCAGCCGCGGUCAACAACGCCUUCCUGAUUGAAGAGAACCACGAGGUGUCUGUGUGGUUUACAAGUUUCUUGGCGAUAUGGGUGAAAAGUUCCUCACAUACCAACGGAAAAUGGGCUUCAUAUACAUGUAAGUACAUUUUACUCAACUGUGGUUUAAAGUUUCAGUACUCAAGAGCGAUUGAAUAGCUCCUCUGAACACAGAUCCGCCAUUGCUAAGUUAUGGCACAGCCGCUUUACAUAGCUGGUAGCUCAAGUCCCCUCAAUGUGACUACACUAGUUGCUGCUGUACGCUAGUAAAUUCUGAUGACUUGCGAGCAUCGUAAUGACAAAAUGCUGUGGUGAAACAGUGAAUAUGUUAAGUAUACUUGUUGAUGGUAAAUUGUUUGACAUUGCUCGUUCUCAGUUGCCUUUCCCCUGCCUGAAGAUAGACAAAGGCUACCGUUAGCAUGCUAUUGCGUUAGCUCAUCAACUAGAUGCUGGGGCACUGCUCAUUUUUCACGUCUGCCCGGCAUUUCGCUGAUGAACUAACUAUUAGACGCCUUGCCAAUGUAUUUUACAGCGGCAAAAAUGCAUCUAGGCGACGUUGGAAAGACUGGUGUGCCGUCUGGGUAUGUUGGUUUUCAGUGCUGGGCAGUAGCGAAGCGACUAGUUUAACUACAUUCUCUAGUAGCUUGGUCGUAGCGUCACUACUAUGUAUCGAGUAGCUAACAUCCCUGUAGUUAAGCUAUUUUUCCUCAAGUAGCGACGUAGUCUACAAAAGCUACAAUUUGUCCCCCAUCGAUUUUACUCAAUGAUUUUUGUUUUACUUUCUCUAUCCUGAAACCUAGGCAGUCACACAGGGGUUCCCAAGACCCACCUGCGUAAACUCAAGUCAAAGGCUGCUGUCUCAUAAUAUGGCGAAGACGAGUCACCUGAAGGCCUAACUCGCCAUAGAAGACUGAAAGAAUUGUCCUGCAGGAUGCUGUGUCCUGCAAUCCUGUGUGCUGUGCUACAGACGCGUGUGGAGGUCAACCCAAAAUGGGCACAGUCUCACCACAGAAGAGUGAAAGAGGAUCCUGGCAGGGAGACGGUAGUGUCCUGCAGAAUGGUGAUGGGCCAAUCUUAAAAGAGACCACAAAAAACUGAUAUAGUGAACUAUAGAAACAACAGUGCCUGCUGCAGUAUAACGAGGACACCCUGAGCAGAGAGCUCCAAUAGACCCAGGUCCAGUGUCUUGGCAGGGUGAAAUGGCACUGAUAUGGUGUCCUGCAGGAUGCUGUGUCCUGCAAUCCUGUGUGCUGUGCUACAGACGCGUGUGGAGGUCAACCCAAAAUGGGCACAGUCUCACCACAGAAGAGUGAAAGAGGCUCCCAGAAGUGAGACUGAGUGCCUGUUGCAGUAUGACGAGGACGCAGUGACCAGAGACCUUCAGUAGACCCUGCUGGCAUGAUUGGUGGCUGAAGAACAUGAAAUCAACAGCAAUGUUUAUAAUGUUGUACAUACCUGUAUAGUCUGUAUUAAAAGGCAGUACCUGUA